CAAGGGAUAUUCGGAGAUUAGUUGAAUCCUACUCAAGAACAAAUUGACAGAUUUUUCCUCUAAAAACCAAAAAUUUAAGUUCAAAAGCUUCAAUGCAUUAAAAGAAAAUUCAGAGAAUCAAAACAAAGUUGAAUGCAUAUGUUGAGGGGGAGAAUCUGAACUUUUAAGAAAGCAAAAUCAUUAAAGACAUAUAAGCCAAACAAUUGAUUGCAUGACAUGAAGGCUUAUAUAAUUCCAAAUGAAAGGGGAAGCUUUAACUCCAAAAUUUAUUGUUUCACACCUUUCAAGUUUGGAUAAAUUAAAUAACCAGACACUUGAAUUCAUUUCAAAAAUUUUAUCAUAAAUUUUCUUGUUUGUUGUGCAAUUCACUUUACAUAUACUCAAUGUUUUGUCAUCAUCAAAAAGGGGGAGAUUGUGGAGUAAUUGAUCAUAACCCUAUUUGAUUUUGAUGAGCUCAAAGCAUUUGAGUAUACCU
rnacentral:lncRNA from 1 species